UACAGAGGUGGCAAGCGUUGUUCGGAAUUACUGGGCGUAAGGGCGCGUAGGCGGUCUUGCAAGUCCUGUGUGAAAUCCCUCGGCUCAACUGAGGAACUGCACAGGAAACUGCUUGGCUUGAGUUCGGGAGAGGGAAGCGGAAUUCCGGGUGUAGCGGUGAAAUGCGUAGAUAUCCGGAGGAACACCGGUGGCGAAGGCGGCUUCCUGGACCGACACUGACGCUGAGGCGCGAAAGCAUGGGGAGCGAACAGG
rnacentral:rRNA from 1 species